rnacentral:rRNA from 1 species
GUGGGGAAUAUUGGACAAUGGGCGAAAGCCUGAUCCAGCCAUGCCGCGUGUGUGAAGAAGGUCUUCGGAUUGUAAAGCACUUUAAGUUGGGAGGAAGGGCAGUAAGUUAAUACCUUGCUGUUUUGACGUUACCGACAGAAUAAGCACCGGCUAACUUCGUGCCAGCAGCCGCGGUAAUACGAAGGGUGCAAGCGUUAAUCGGAAUUACUGGGCGUAAAGCGCGCGUAGGUGGUUUUGUAAGUUGGAGGUGACAUCCCCGGGCUCAACCUGGGAACUGCCUCCAAAACUGCAUGACUAGAGUACGGUAGAGGGUAGUGGAAUUUCCUGUGUAGCGGUGAAAUGCGUAGAUAUAGGAAGGAACACCAGUGGCGAAGGCGACUACCUGGACUGAUACUGACACUGAGGUGCGAAAGCGUGGGGAGCAAACAGGAUUAGAAACCCGGGUAGUCC